GUGAGGAAUUUUCCGCAAUGGGCGAAAGCCUGACGGAGCAAUGCCGCGUGAAGGAUGAAGGCCUAUGGGUUGUAAACUUCUUUUCUCAGAAAAGAAUUAUGACGGUAUCUGAGGAAUAAGCAUCGGCUAACUCUGUGCCAGCAGCCGCGGUAAGACAGAGGAUGCAAGCGUUAUCCGGAAUGAUUGGGCGUAAAGCGUCUGUAGGUUGUUUAAAAAGUAUUCUGUCAAAGAUUAGGGCUUAACCCUAGAUAGGCAGAAUAAACUUUUAAGCUAGAGUUUGGGAGAGGGAGAGGGAAUUCCCGGUGGAGCGGUUAAAUGCGUAGAUAUCGGGAGGAACACCAAAGGCGAAGGCACUCUGCUGGGCCAAUACUAACACUGAGAGACGAAAGCGAGGGGAGCAAAUGGGAUUAGAUACCCGGGUAGUCC
rnacentral:rRNA from 1 species